AAAGGCUUAGGAUUAAAUUCUAGACCAAAGGCCUUCAAAGCCUUAAGCAGGUGUUAAAACACCUAGCCUUUG
rnacentral:tRNA from 1 species